AAACAGUGCUAGAGCAGGCGCCAUUAUUCACAGAGGUGGUAUGGGACAAAAUUUCAUUUUAAAGUCUGAUUUCGGGUUUGGGGAACUGUUCUUACACCUCCGUGGUAAAUUAGUUUUUGUUAAAUGUAACAUAAACUGUAACUUUAACUUAGUUGCUGUCUAGCUUGUUUGGCAAAUGAAUGUCGGAGCCGUCAUAUUCAACAUUUUCAGCACACCGUCACAUCUUUACUCGACGACGUGGAGGAGCUGGCAGAGUAAUUGUCAAGAAAAGAAGACACCAUUUACGACUUUUUUUAUUUAAAAGAAAUUAAGAUACGACUAGGUGAAGAUCUGACAUCGCAGAAUUAUUCAAGGAUAACACGCCUUUUCUGCCAAACGAGGUCGUAAUUGCUGCUGUACUGUACACCCCAAGCACCGUUUAUACCCAUCUCAGCACCCCCUGCAUUCUUAUCAUGAUCUUCUUGUGAAGAAAUCCUGAACGAGGUUCAAAGGUUCAGAUGAUGGGAACCUACGCUUCCAAGACUUUGAGAAUCCAUGUACAAUUUGAGCUUUUGGAACUUGAACUGAACAUGCAGAAAAAAGUUUCCACAAACUGGCACAUGGUAAGAAAUACUAAAAGCACACAAACACUUGGAGCCCUGAUCUUAAUUUAGAUUGUAUAGUUUAGUAUAGUUGUAUAGUAUAGUUUCACAUUGAAAUGUGAGGCAUGAGUGCAUGAAUCUUUGUUUUUUAUUUUCAAAUGCUGUACAAGUAUUUUUUGCAGUACCAUGGCAAUUGUAGAUACAGAUAAUUUAGCAUGAAUUAGAGGUUAGUAAUCUAACUUAAAGGGUUAGUUCACCCAAAAUGUUAUAUGAAAAAUCUUGUUCCAAUCCUGUUAGACCUUUGUUCAUUUUUGGAACACUAAUGAAGAUCCUUUUUAAUGAAAUCUGACAGCUAUACCUUAUUGGACCUUGAAAUGGUAGUUGUAUAUGGUAGUUGUCAAUGGAGGAUACUCUUUGUUCGUGUUCCAAAGAUGAAUGAAAAUCUUAUGGAUUUGGAAUGGUAUGAGGGUGAGUAACUUAUAACAGAAUUCACAUUUUUGGGUGAACUGUCCUUUUAAAUAAUAUUGUGUUCUUCUAUAGGUUAAAUGCUGUAAACACUGGAACAUUUCACUUGACUAUUGACUAAGUCUAUAGCAAUUGUUAUUAAUGACAGCCCUGUCUUUGUAUUCAUUUUUUCCCCCCAUGUAUUUGAAAAUAUUUUGAAACUUGACUGUUUCACAGUGAAGUUUAUCUCUGUGACCACUAUUUGGUGCAACACCAAUAUUGUACAAGUCAAGUACCUGCUUAUGUUUUCUUU